rnacentral:rRNA from 1 species
UACGUAGGGUGCAAGCGUUUGUCCGGAUUUAUUGGGCGUAAAGAGCUCGUAGGCGGUUUGGCAAGUCGGGUGUGAAAACUUCAGGCUCAACCUGGAGAUGCCACCCGAGACUGCUAUGACUGGAGUCUGGUAGGGGAUCACGGAAUUCCUGGUGUAGCGGUGAAAUGCGCAGAUAUCAGGAGGAACACCGGUGGCGAAGGCGGGAUCUCUGGACAGUUCCGUGACGCUGGAGGCACGAAGGCCAGGGGAGCAAACGGG